rnacentral:rRNA from 1 species
AGGAUGAACGCUGGCGGCGUGCCUAAUACAUGCAAGUCGAACGAUAGCCUUUCGGGGCUAUAGUGGCGGACGGGUGAGUAACACGUUGGUACCUACCCCGAAGUGGGGAAUAACUGCCCGAAAGGGUGGCUAAUACCGCAUAAUACCGCAAGGUUAAAGCGAGUAAUCGCGCUUCGGGAGGGGCCUGCGUCCCAUUAGCUAGUUGGUAGGGUAAUGGCCUACCAAGGCAACGACGGGUAGCUGGUCUGAGAGGACGACCAGCCACACUGGAACUGAGACACGGUCCAGACACCUACGGGUGGCAGCAGUCGAGAAUUUUUCUCAAUGGGGGAAACCCUGAAGGAGCGACGCCGCGUGGAGGAUGAAGGCUUUCGGGUUGUAAACUCCUGUCAUUUGGGAACAAAGUCUUACGUUAACUGCGUGGAGAUUUGAUAGUACCGAAAGAGGAAGAGACGGCUAACUCUGUGCCAGCAGCCGC